CAAUAGCGUAUAUUAAAGUUGUUGCAGUUAAAAAGCUCGAAGUUGGAUUUCUGGUUGAAGCGACCGGUCGGGCGUUGAUUCGUCUGCACUGGAGUCGGUUUUGGCCAUCCUCUAGGAAAGUGCGUCUGGUAUUAAGUUAUCGGGCGUAUGAUCCUGGUCUUUUACUGUGAAAAAAUUAGAGUGUUUAAAGCAGGCCUUCGCCUUGAAUACAUUAGCAUGGAAUAAUAAGAUAGGACUUUGGUCUAUUUUGUUGGUUUGCAGACCGAAGUAAUGAUUAAUAGGGAUAGUUGGGGGUAUUUAUAUUCCGAUGUCAGAGGUGAAAUUCUUAGAUUUUCGGAAGAUAAACUUAUGCGAAAGCAUUUACCAAGGAUGUUUUCAUUAA
rnacentral:rRNA from 1 species